GUCCUAGCCGUAAACGGUGAUCACUAGGUGUUGGAGGCAUCGACCCCUCCAGUGCCGCAGCUAACGCAUUAAGUGAUCCGCCUGGGGAGUACGGCCGCAAGGUUGAAACUCAAAGGAAUUGACGGGGGCCCGCACAAGCGGUGGAGCAUGUGGUUUAAUUCGACGCAACGCGAAGAACCUUACCCAGACUUGACAUGUAUCGGACCGGUGUGGAAACACACCUUCCCUUCGGGGCCGAUGCACAGGUGCUGCAUGGCUGUCGU
rnacentral:rRNA from 1 species